rnacentral:rRNA from 1 species
UACGUAGGGUGCAAGCGUUAAUCGGAAUUACUGGGCGUAAAGCGUGCGCAGGCGGUGAUGUAAGACAGGUGUGAAAUCCCCGGGCUUAACCUGGGAACUGCAUUUGUGACUGCAUCGCUGGAGUGCGGCAGAGGGGGAUGGAAUUCCGCGUGUAGCAGUGAAAUGCGUAGAGAUGUGGAGGAAUACCGAUGGCGAAGGCAGCCCCCUGGGAUAACACUGACGCUCAGGCACGAAAGCGUGGGGAGCAAACAGG